GUAUAGUUAUGUCUGGGGUUCUAAGCGGCUGUUUAGCAUUAGAAGGGACAUUGGUCUAGAACAGGGCUAGGCAACGUGUGCCAAAACAAUCCUGUUUUUAAAAUAAAAAUCUCUGUAUGUGUUGCCGUAUUCUACUUGAGUUAUAUAUGGAUGCUGCAAUUGCAUUGUAGGGUUGUAUUUGUGCAUAUGUGGGCUGUGUUAUAUUGUGUAUAAGCAGUUUUGUCAUAUUGUGUGUGUUACAUGUGUAUGUGCGCAGUGUAUCACGUUGUGUGUGAAUGUGGGCUGCGU